rnacentral:rRNA from 1 species
AUUGAACGCUGGCGGCAGGCUUAACACAUGCAAGUCGAGCGGGGGAGGUUGCUUCGGUAACUGACCUAGCGGCGGACGGGUGAGUAAUGCUUAGGAAUCUGCCUAUUAGUGGGGGACAACAUUCCGAAAGGGAUGCUAAUACCGCAUACGCCCUACGGGGGAAAGCAGGGGAUCUUCGGACCUUGCGCUAAUAGAUGAGCCUAAGUCGGAUUAGCUAGUUGGUGGGGUAAAGGCCUAGCAAGGCGACGAUCUGUAGCGGGUCUGAGAGGAUGAUCCGCCACACUGGGACUGAGACACGGCCCAGACUCCUACGGGAGGCAGCAGUGGGGAAUAUUGGACAAUGGGCGGAAGCCAGAUCCAGCCAUGCCGCGUGUGUGAAGAAGGCCUUUUGGUUGUAAAGCACUUUAAGCGAGGAGGAGGCUACUAGUACUAAUACUACUGGAUAGUGGACGUUACUCGCAGAAUAAGCACCGGCUAACUCUGUGCCAGCCGCCGCAGUAAAAC